rnacentral:rRNA from 1 species
UGGGGAAUAUUACACAAUGGAGGAAACUCUGAUGUAGCAACGCCGCGUGGAGGAUGACACAUUUCGGUUCGUAAACUCCUUUUAUAUGGGAAGAUAAUGACGGUACCAUAUGAAUAAGCACCGGCUAACUCCGUGCCAGCAGCCGCGGUAAUACGUAGGGUGCAAGCGUUACUCGGAAUCACUUUGCGUAAAGCGCGCGCAGGCGGUCUUUUAAGUUGGAUGUGAAAUCCUAUGGAUCAAACAUAGAACUGCAUCCAAAAAUGAAAGAAUAGAGACUGGGAGGGGAAGA